UACAGCGGUCCCAAGCGUUGUUCGGAUUCAUUGGGCGUAAAGGGUGCGUAGGCGGCGCGGUAAGUCGGGUGUGAAAUCUCGGAGCUUAACUCCGAAACUGCAUUCGAUACUGCCGUGCUUGAGGACUGGAGAGGAGACUGGAAUUUACGGUGUAGCGGUGAAAUGCGUAGAUAUCGUAAGGAAGACCAGUGGCGAAGGCGGGUCUCUGGACAGUUCCUGACGCUGAGGCACGAAGGCCAGGGGAGCAAACGGG
rnacentral:rRNA from 1 species